rnacentral:rRNA from 1 species
UGAGGAAUAUUGGUCAAUGGGAGAGAUCCUGAACCAGCCAAGCCGCGUGAGGGAAGACGGCCCUAUGGGUUGUAAACCUCUUUUGUCGGAGAACAAAACCCGGGACGAGUCCCGGACUGCGUGUAUCCGAAGAAAAAGCAUCGGCUAACUCCGUGCCAGCAGCCGCGGUAAUACGGAGGAUGCGAGCGUUAUCCGGAUUUAUUGGGUUUAAAGGGUGCGUAGGCGGUCCGUUAAGUCAGCGGUAAAAUUGCGGGGCUCAACCCCGUCGAGCCGUUGAAACUGGCAGACUUGAGUUGGCGAGAAGUACGCGGAAUGCGCGGUGUAGCGGUGAAAUGCAUAGAUAUCGCGCAGAACUCCGAUUGCGAAGGCAGCGUACCGGCGCCAGACUGACGCUGAGGCACGAAAGCGUGGGGAUCGAACAGG